UCUCCUGUAGCUCACGAUCAGUGGUAGAGCGUCCGACGGUGUGCGGAAGGUCAUAGGUUCGACUCCUGUUGGGGAAC